UCCCUGGUGGUUCAGUGGUUAAGACUCAACGCUUUCAGUGCCAGGGACCCAGGUUUGAUCCCUGGUCAGGGAA
rnacentral:tRNA from 1 species